CAUAGCCUGACACACACAUCAGAUAUACACACUGGUGUUAUGUCUCGGAGGUAGCACAUGAGACGUGUUGCCCUGGCCAGCUUUACAUUUUGCUUUACAAAUAUUGCAGCGAGCGACGUCUGUGUCAAGUUUUGAAAAGUGUAAGUCAACCACACUUUCAGCUCGCCAGUCACUGUGAAUCUCUCUCUUUGUCUUUCUCUGCCACUGACACGCGCAAAUCAUUCUCUCUUACCCAGAUGCGCUCUCAGGUACCGAAAUUUGGCACCGAUUGAUUUGAUGUGAAUCAGUACUCGGUACCCAACCCUAGCAUCCACCCUCAGGUUCCCACUCAGGUUAGCACUGUUGCCGUUGUUUGCACUGUUAGCAGCGUUAGCUACGAGCCGCCGCCUCAGCCAUGGUCAUGUUGAGAACCAUGUGGAGGCAAUAGAUAUGCUCUGCAUUCUGCAUCAUUUAAAUUAUCCAGUUUUGAAAGACAUCAAGACAGUCUUUGUACCUAUUCAUGUCUCUUUUCAGUCACCACAGAGUGUUCAACUGCACUCUAUGGAGGUCCCCUCUUUGAUAGGUAGACAUCAGCCAGGGUUGUAAUUCCCCUCUUGACAAUUUUCUAAAUAACAUUUUAAAAGCUUUUUUUUUCACUUCUAUGAUGCAAUAUGAAGUGAUUGUUUUUUUUUUUCAAAAUGAUUAGAAAUAGUGGUCCUUCAAAACUCUGUAGAUGAUCUAAUUCUAAUUAUCCCAGGGUGACAUCAGACUGGACAGUUCCAUGCUGGACGGGGUCACAGGAUCGAGGUGGCAUCUGGAGACGAGGCUGUGAACGGUCUAUUAACACAGAGGCUGCGGCUGCCAGAAACACUUGCACAGAACCCACAGAUGAAAGCCAAGCCAGUAAUGACAAACAAAUUAGGUCGGGGCUACACGGAGAUGGAACCUGCAGAUGUGUUCGCUGUCCGUUUCCAGACAUAAAAGCCGUUGUGGCGUCCAGAUUGAAUUACAUUACUCAUUUGCACGGCAGCGCCAGGGCUCCCUUUUCAUUGGGGCAGGCCGGGGCUGUCGGACAAAAGAUCCACUUUAUGAGCUCUGUGCUGUACACGGAGAGCAGAUGCUAGGCAAGGUGAGUUUUACACACCUCAAUGACUCCUUAAGCCCUCUAUCAGUGAGCAAACUGCUCAGAUUUCCACCAUUCUGCUCUAGACUGCACUGCAUCCCUCCAUAAUAAACCUUAUGUGUGAAAA